rnacentral:rRNA from 1 species
GCCUGCCCAGUGAUAACAUUUAACGGCCGCGGUAUCCUAACCGUGCAAAGGUAGCGCAAUCACUUGUUCUUUAAAUAAGGACUAGUAUGAACGGCGCCAUGAGGGUCAUCUUGUCUCUCGCGCUAAGUCAAUGAAACUGAUCCCCCAGUCCAAAAGCUGGGAUAUCCACACAAGACGAGAAGACCCUGUGGAGCUUCAAACUGCACCUCACCAAAAUUUGAGCCUGCCGUUUUUGGUUGGGGCGACCUUGGAGCAAAACUAAACCUCCAAACCCUUAAACUUUAGGCCUACGCGCCAAAAGAGAAUCAACCUCCUUCGACCCAAUACAAUUGAUCAAUGAACCAAGUUACCCCAGGGAUAACAGCGCAAUCUUCUUUUAGAGUCCCUAUCGACAAGAAGGUUUACGACCUCGAUGUUGGAUCAGGAUACCCAAAUGGUGCAGCCGCUAUUAAAGGUUCGUUUGUUCAACGAUUAAUAAUCCUACGUGAUCUGAGUUCAGACCGG